CCCUGGGCUGUAGUACGGGAGCCUCGGCAGUCUCGGGCGAGAGUUUCGGGAGAGGGUCCCGAGAUCCCGCCUUGUGGGGUUCGGAACCCGGCCCUGGCCCGCGACUCGGACCCACCCCGAGCAGGGCCCCGGUGCGGCCGCGGUGCCCCCGCUUUCAGAGCCCCGCCGCGCGCGGAACCGCAGGAGCAGGACGUCCACCAGCGGUUUGCGAACGGCGGGCUCGGGAUUCUAGGCUUCUCCUAUUGUGACUAUUUGUGGUUUGUAAGUUUUUUUCUAGUGAACACUGUGGUGCUUUUUCAUUAAGAGCGGCGAUUUUUUCAAGGCGCCUGCAGAAGUUGAGCGGCCCGGCCCCGCAGUGUGAGCGGCCCCUCUCCAGACUGCAGGACUGCGCGUUCCUGGGCCCGGGACCCGGCUCCUCCUCCCUCGGCUCCCCGGCCGGCCCCGCCCCGUCCCCGCCCAUGCCCCGCCCUCCACUCCUGACCCCGCCCCUCCCCCGGCUGCGGCGAAAAUCCGGAGUGGCGGAUUGCCCUCUGCUCCGCGGGAGCCGGCUGUGGGCUCCUGCAGGAGCGGUGCCGGGGGUGCGGCUGACGCCGCUCCGCGCUCCCUCUUCUCACUCUGUCCUGGGCGAGCCACGCGGGGCAGCGCCGCGACCCCAGCCGCCGGCCCGGCCUCAGAAGCGGGUCAGGACCCGACUGAGCAUGCUCGCCCUCCAGCGCAGCGUGGCUCGACCAGGUGGACGCUGCCGGGACCCGGGGUCGGACCGCGCGGGGGAGGCGCAGGCAGUUCAGUCUCUGAGACUCCGCUUCGCAUUCUCCCCAGAACCUCGCUCCACCUCGGAUGCGCUUGAGGUGGGCAUAGGAAUUUGCUUCGAAGCCUGUAACGGAAGAGAAGACGGGAAUGGAGGGCUUACAGGGAAGAGAUUUCACAGGUUCUAGAUGAAUAAACUCAACCCAGACAGAAGCUUUCAGAGAGAUACCUGUGGAUGGGCAGAGCAUUGGCUGGUUUCAGAGGUGUUACCAUCAUCUUUGUAUGUAUUAUCCAGUGUGGGCUUGUGCUGGAGAAUCUGGGGCAACUGGAUGAGCUCCAGGUAAGGUGACUACUUGCUUUUUUGUGUGUUGAACCACCCUGGACUUUUCCUGUGACCUGUUGGCACCUCUGUCCUGGGUGCAGCCACCUGGGUGGGGGUGGGAAGGAAUGUGCAGAGGCUCUGACCUGACCCCUUCCUGGAGGAGGCCGGGAAGAGCUGGGGACCCUCAUUAGGCUGCUUCCCUGCUCCUGGGAGCCUGAAGGGGCACAGUAAGGAGAAGAGUGGGGAGGAAUGGAAGGACCUUGUGACCUGCUGGCCAGGGAGGGCAAAACUUCUUCAAAAGUCUGAGUCAGCAUUGGGAAAGUAUUCUGUUCCUCGUUCUGGGUGUAGAUGGAGUGCUGAUGCUGGCCCUUUGAGGGCUGUGUAUGUACGUGUGUGGUCUAACCAGUUAGCAGCAGCUGAAACAGCAGGGCAGAAGGCUGCUUGCAGCCCACACAGGGCUGAGGACCCAGCUUGGGGGUCACACUCUUCCUGGACCACCCUCUGAGGUCACCCUCCAGCCCAGUCUCCCGCCCUCUGGCUUUCAUUCUGGACGGUGAAGUGGGUUUAGGGAUGUGGGCUGUUGGCAUGAGGAAGGAUGAAUCUGGAACCCCAUACCCCCCACCCCGUGUGUGUAGGGCUUUCCUGUGAGCAGGGUGGGUGGGAAGUUGCCGGGAAGGUGAAGGGCCUGGAAGGUGCUGUCUGGUCAGUGGGAUGAGCCCUGGGGGCCCUUUGUGAAAACCUGACUCCACAGCUGCAUGUCCCCCAGUUUUUGAGGUUAUGACUGGUGUGCAGCUGGCCUUUUGUUCUCUGAGUUUAUAAUCUUGGGAGGGAGGGAGGCCAAAUGUCCACUUUCCCACCGCGGGAUGGAGAAGGUCAGGGACUGACCUUGGUGAUGAAACUAACACUCAUGUGGCUGGUUGGCAGGUGGAAAACAGAGAUGUCAAAACGGCCUCCAGGAGUGCAGCCAUGGAUGAGGCCGGGCCAAAUGGGGGGACCUGGCCACUUUAUUUGCUGCUUCAAAGCCAGGAGCUCUGCCCAGGGCCCAGGGGAGCAUUAGCACCUCACUGACUGGGGCAGGCACUGGAACCCCUGCAUGGUGACAUAAAGCGGACACAGGGCUCCUGCAAGACAAAGACUAUGGGAGCCCAGGGCAGCCCAGCUGGGGGCAGAGGCUGAGGUGGAGGAGGGGAGUAUGAGCCCUUUGUGGGGGGCCUUGCAGAGGUCAGAGGGGGAGAGUAGAUACCCACCUCUCCAAAGAGGCAGAGCAGCUUUUCCGUGGAGAUUUGAAGGACUGGGAGGCUCAGAGGCCCAGCCAUACAUGGGGUAGGUACUGGCUUCCUCUUGGGACUCUGCUGGGCGAGCCGAGGCUCCAGGGGGCUGUGGCCCAUCCAUAGCCCUGCCUGGGGGGGUCCCUGGGCAUGUACACAAGAGACUUGGUACAAAUGUGCCAACCUUCUUUUCCCUGAUCAUGAUAGUUUCUACCGUUGUUACCACAGGGACAUUUGUGCGGCUUGUUCUCCAUCAUGGAGUCCAGGGAGAAGUGCAGCUGAGACCUGCUGAGAAGCGUGGUGAUGCUGGGAACUUCAAGAGCAACCAGGCCUGGCUUGCCAGCGAGCCUGUUCCAGCUCUGCAUCUCUCCAGCUUCCUAAAUCACCACCACCACCUGCCCUAGGAGUGGAGCCCUUGGGUUGGAGCCAGCUGAUUGGAUGUGAGCUCUAAGGUUACAGUUUCCCCCUACCACACGAAUGACUUUUUCAGGUUCUCUCUUGCUUGCAUUUGCCUUCUGUACAUUCGUCCAUCUCUACUCACAUGUAACUUGUGAAAGGCGCAUGUAAUGAUGUGAGCAAGCAGGUAAGUGAGGAACAUGCCCAGAGCCAGUCCAUCUGCAAGGACAAGUAUGCGCACUUCUUACAGCUCCUGGGCUCAUCAGCCUAUGGUCUUCUGUGGGUUCCUGACACACAGUCCUUAGGAACGUGUUUCUUGGCUGCUUGUUAUCUUGGUUAAGCAGGACUUGCACUUGAUUCAUGAAUGAACAUGAUUCUAGCUGACCGUGUAUGCAAUUUUCUCCUUCUGAGAACGCGACUGAUGGCUUCAUGAGUUUGUACUUUGGGCUCUCGUGAAUUCUCGGAGGGAGGGAAAGAGGGUCUCCUCAUAACGAGUGGUAACCUGCCAGCGCUGGUGAGUGGGCCUGAAACCUACUGAUGGAGGGGACAAAACUGAACUCCAACUUGGUCUCCUCAUUUGUCUGUAGAAGCCCAGCAACUUCUUUCAAUGGUACCAUGACUUUCCAAGUGAUACUGGUUUUUGAAACACUGAAGACGACAUCAAGUAAUGUCGUAACUCAAAAGAGGAACAUAAAAAAGGCCUCGAUCUCUAGUGUUACCUAGAGAGACUGUUGUACUCACCAUGUCCAUCUGCUCCGGAGACGCUAAAGAGAAGGAUGCUCGGAAGUAGGGGCAAGGAGCUGAACUGUCAAAGUAGAAAUGGUAUCCUGGAAGCACGAAAAUCUGAGAGAGUAUAUGGAGAAGAGAUGAUGAGCCAUUAAAGGAAAACGAAAGAAAGUACAGGUGAAUGUCAUCGGGGAAGGGGCGGCCUCUUUAAGUUUAAGAGCAAUUAAAGAACUCGCAAGCGAAAACGCAACUUCAUAAAAAUCCCGCAUAGCGUACAACAAACACACUAAAAGCAUAGAAAGUGGAAGAGUGUUUACAGUAAAAACAGAAAUGCUACCUCUUCUCCACAUGGAAUAAAGACUGCAUAGGAACAGGAAAAACACAAAUUCUAGCUUGAAUGGACAAAGAACAGCUUGUACGAGCAAGAGGCAAGGUAAUAAACAAGAAUAAAUGUUUCCUGGAACCAGAAAGUAAUUUCAAACAAGGAGAAACCCUUGUUAAGCUGUCCAAUUUGGAGGUGACCUUCAAGCUGGGACCUGAGAGGUAAGAUGUGUCCAGACACCAGCAGGGGGAGCACUUUAGGAAGAAGUUCCAUGCGCCCCAGUGUUCACUGCAGCACAAUUUACAAUAGACAACACAUGGAAGUAACCUAAAUGUCUAUCAGCAGAUGAGUGCAUAAAGAGGAUGUGCUACAUGGAUACAGUGGAAUGUGACUCAGCCGUAAAAUAAUGAAUUCCUGCCAUUUGUGGUAACAUGGAUGGACCUGGAGGGUAUUAUAUUGAGUGAAAUAUGUCAGAGAAAGAAAAAGCCCACAUGCUAUCAUUGAUAUGCAGAAUCUAAAAGAUAAAGUGAAGAACUAUAUUAACAAGAAAACGACUCACAGAGAACAAAUUA